UGACCUCGGAUCAGGUGGGGAUACCCGCUGAACUUAAGCAUAUCAAUAAGCGGAGGAA
rnacentral:rRNA from 10 species